rnacentral:rRNA from 1 species
UGGCCGGGCGACGGUUGUCCCGGUUUAAGCGUGUAGGCUGGUUUUCCAGGCAAAUCCGGAAAAUCAAGGCUGAGGCGUGAUGACGAGGCACUACGGUGCUGAAGCAACAAAUGCCCUGCUUCCAGGAAAAGCCUCUAAGCAUCAGGUAACAUCAAAUCGUACCCCAAACCGACACAGGUGGUCAGGUAGAGAAUACCAAGGCGCUUGAGAGAACUCGGGUGAAGGAACUAGGCAAAAUGGUGCCGUAACUUCGGGAGAAGGCACGCUGAUAUGUAGGUGAAGUCCCUCGCGGAUGGAGCUGAAAUCAGUCGAAGAUACCAGCUGGCUGCAACUGUUUAUUAAAAACACAGCACUGUGCAAACACGAAAGUGGACGUAUACGGUGUGACGCCUGCCCGGUGC